rnacentral:rRNA from 1 species
AAUAGAUACCCGGGUAGUCCACGCCGUAAACGAUGUCUACUCGCUCGCGGCAGUUUCGACCCUGUCGUGGGUUCAGCUAACGCACAAGUAGACCGCCUGGGGAGUACGGUCGCAAGAUUAAAACUCAAAGGAAUUGACGGGGACCCGCACAAGCAGCGGAGCGUGUGGUUUAAUUCGAUGCAACGCGAAGAACCUUACCAGGGCUUGACAUGCAAGCGCACCGGUCAGAGAUGGUCGUGCCCGCAAGGGACGCUUGCACAGGUGCUGCAUGGCUGUCGUCAGCUCGUGCCGUGAGGUGUUGGGUUAAGUCCCCUAACGAGCGCAACCCCUAUCGUUGGUUGUACUUCUCCAGCGAAACUGCCCGUCAGGGAGGAAGGAGGGGAUGACGUCAAGUCAGCACGGCCCUUACGUCCUGGGCGACACACACGCUACAAUGGCAGAGACAGCGGGCUGCGAAGCGGCAACGCGGAGCCAAUCCCACAAACUCUGCCCCAGUUCAGAUCGGGGCUGCAACCGCCCCGUG